UACGUAGGUGGCUAGCGUUGUCCGGAUUCAUUGGGCGUAAAGCGCGUGUAGGCGGCUUUACAGGUCCGCUGUGAAAACUUGAGGCUCAACCUCGAGACGUCGGCGGAAACCGUAUGGCUAGAGUCCGGAAGAGGAGAGUGGAAUUCCUGGUGUAGCGGUGAAAUGCGCAGAUAUCAGGAAGAACACCCGUGGCGAAGGCGGCUCUCUGGGACGGUACUGACGCUGAGACGCGAAAGCGUGGGGAGCGAACAGG
rnacentral:rRNA from 1 species